rnacentral:ncRNA from 2 species
CAAAGUGAAGAAAUUCAACCAAGCG